rnacentral:snRNA from 1 species
GCACAAAUACUAAAACUGGAAUGCUACAGAGAAGACAGCAUGGCCCCUGCACAAGUUAGACACAUAAAAUCACGAAGUAUUCCAUUAAAAA